GAUGAACGCUAGCUACAGGCUUAACACAUGCAAGUCGAGGGGCAGCAUGUCGGUUGCUUGCAACCGAUGAUGGCGACCGGCGCACGGGUGAGUAACGCGUAUCCAACCUACCCUUGUCCAUCGGAUAACCCGUCGAAAGGCGGCCUAACACGAUAUGCGGUUCACCGCAGGCAUCUAAGGUGAACGAAAUGUGAAGGAGAAGGAUGGGGAUGCGUCUGAUUAGCUUGUUGGCGGGGUAACGGCCCACCAAGGCGACGAUCAGUAGGGGUUCUGAGAGGAAGGUCCCCCACAUUGGAACUGAGACACGGUCCAAAACUCCUACGGGAGGCAGCAGUGAGGAAUAUUGGUCAAUGGACGGGAGUCUGAACCAGCCAAGUAGCGUGCAGGAUGACGGCCCUAUGGGUUGUAAACUGCUUUUAUAGGGGGAUAAAGUGUGUCACGUGUGGCAUAUUGCAGGUACCCUAUGAAUAAGGACCGGCUAAUUCCGUGCCAGCAGCCG
rnacentral:rRNA from 1 species